rnacentral:rRNA from 1 species
AUUGACCGCUGGCGGCAGGCCUAACACAUGCAAGUCGAACGAGUGGCGGACGGGUGAGUAAUGUCUGGGAAACUGCCUGAUGGAGGGGGAUCACUACUGGAAACGGUAGCUAAUACCGCAUACCAUCGGAUGUGCCCAGAUGGGAUUAGCUAGUAGGUGGGGUAAAGGCUCACCUGUGCGGCGAUCCCUAGCUGGUCUGAGCGGAUGACCAGACACACUUGAACUGAGACAAGGUCCAAACUCCUACGGGAGGCAGCAGGGGGGAAUAGUACGCAGUGGGCGAAAGCCUGAUGCAGCCAUGCCGCGUGUAUGAAGAGGGCGUUCGGGUUGUAAAGUACUUUCAGCGGGGAGGCGUUACCCGCAGAAGAAGCACCGGCUAACUACUUGCCAGCAGCCGCGGUAAUUC